GGGGGCGUACUGGUUUCGACGGGGACAUGGGUGCGGGAAUAGCGGGCGGAUGUGUCUGCCAUCCUUAAAACAGGCAACUUAUAAAUUAAAGAACGACGACAACGAAGUUCUUGCCGCUGCUUAAUUAAGCGGCUGUCCUCCCCGGAAGGACCACGAGCCGGGCUAGGGCAUGAUCUUAGUGGUGCACGUGACCGGGGUAAGCUUUGCCCCCGGCAUGACCCAUGAAGCUACCAACCCAUGCAGCAUGACGGUUUGCGGCAUGGCGCGGGAAUAGAAACAACCGUCUGCGCCCGGAGAGGUUCCCGAGGAAGUGUUUUCGGACGGGGGUUCGACUCCCCCCGCCUCCACCA
rnacentral:tmRNA from 1 species